AUGACAGUUAAUAUUACGAUACGUAUUUUCUUCAUCAAAACAAAAACUUACCUUUUUCAACAUAUUCAUAUUAACGUCGAUGGCCGGGGGAGAGUUUCGCCCUCUGACUCUGACCCCAUCGCCAUUUUCCCACGAUCGCGAUCGAAGACUCUUGAUUAUGCGAAGAGGUGCAAUUUCAAUUUUUCAAAUUCCAAUUGGUGA